rnacentral:rRNA from 1 species
ACGUGGACAACCUGCCCUCAGGAGGGGGAUAACCCUAGGAAACUGGGGCUAAACCCCCAUAGGCCAUAGCGGCUGGAAAGCUCUGUGACUGAAAUUCCGCAAGGAGCCUGAGGAUGGGUCUGCGGCCUAUCAGGUUGUAGUGGGGGUAAUGUCCCCACUAGCCUACGACGGGUACGGGCCCUGAGAGGGGGAGCCCGGAGAUGGACUCUGAGACACGAGUCCAGGCCCUACGGGGCGCAGCAGGCGCGAAACCUUCGCAAUAUGGGAAACCGUGACGAGGGAACUCCAAGUGCCUACGCUAAGCGUAGGCUGUUCUUAAGCCUAUAAAGCUUAAGGAGUAAGGGCUGGGUAAGACGGGUGCCAGCCGCCGCGGUAAUACCCGCAGCCCUAGUGGUGGCCGUUUUUAUUGGGUCUAAAGCGUUCGUAGCCGGCCCGGUAAAUGCUUGGGUAAAUCGUGGGGCCU